UAGGGAAUAUUGGGCAAUGGACGCAAGUCUGACCCAGCCAUGCCGCGUGCAGGAAGAAGGCUUUCUGAGUCGUAAACUGCUUUUGAAUGGGAACAAAUACCCCUUGCGAGGGAUGCUGAGUGUACCAUUAGAAUAAGCACCGGCUAACUCCGUGCCAGCAGCCGCGGUAAUACGGAGGGUGCAAGCGUUGUCCGGAUUUAUUGGGUUUAAAGGGUGCGUAGGCGGGCCUUUAAGUCAGUGGUGAAAGCCGACAGCUUAACUGUCGAAAUGCCAUUGAUACUGGGGGUCUUGAGUACAGUAGAGGUAGGCGGAAUUAAUGGUGUAGCGGUGAAAUGCAUAGAUACCAUUAAGAACACCGAUUGCGAAGGCAGCUUACUAUAGUGUAACUGACGCUGAGGCA
rnacentral:rRNA from 1 species